rnacentral:rRNA from 1 species
GUGGGGAAUAUUGGACAAUGGGCGAAAGCCUGAUCCAGCCAUGCCGCGUGAGUGAUGAAGGCCUUAGGGUUGUAAAGCUCUUUCGCCGAGGACGAUAAUGACGGUACUCGGAUAAGAAGCCCCGGCUAACUUCGUGCCAGCAGCCGCGGUAAUACGAUGGGGGCUAGCGUUGUUCGGAAUUACUGGGCGUAAAGCGUAUGUAGGCGGGUCGUUAAGUUAGGGUUGAAAUCCCAAGGCUCAACCUUGGAACUGCCCUUGAUACUGGCGAUCUUGAGUCGGGGAGAGGUGAGUGGAACUGCGAGUGUAGAGGUGAAAUUCGUAGAUAUUCGCAAGAACACCAGUGGCGAAGGAGGCUCACUGGCCCGGUACUGACGCUGAGAUACGAAAGCGUGGGGAGCAAACAGGAUUAGAAACCCUGGUAGUCC